UACGAGGGGGGCGAGCGUUGUUCGGAAUUAUUGGGCGUAAAGGGCGCGUAGGCGGUGCGGUAAGUCACCUGUGAAACCUCUGGGCUUAACUCAGAGCCUGCAGGCGAAACUGCCGUGCUGGAGUGUGGGAGAGGUGCGUGGAAUUCCCGGUGUAGUGGUGAAAUGCGUAGAGAUCGGGAGGAACACCAGUGGCGAAGGCGGCACUCUGGGCCAGUACUGACGCUGAGGAGCGAA
rnacentral:rRNA from 1 species